rnacentral:rRNA from 1 species
UGGGGAAUAUUGCACAAUGGGCGCAAGCCUGAUGCAGCCAUGCCGCGUGUGUGAAGAAGGCCUUCGGGUUGUAAAGCACUUUCAGCGAGGAGGAAGGUGGUGAACUUAAUACGUUCAUCAAUUGACGUUACUCGCAGAAGAAGCACCGGCUAACUCCGUGCCAGCAGCCGCGGUAAUACGGAGGGUGCAAGCGUUAAUCGGAAUUACUGGGCGUAAAGCGCACGCAGGCGGUUUGUUAAGUCAGAUGUGAAAUCCCCGGGCUCAACCUGGGAACUGCAUUUGAAGCUGGCAAGCUAGAGUCUCGUAGAGGGGGGUAGAAUUCCAGGUGUAGCGGUGAAAUGCGUAGAGAUCUGGAAGAAUACCGGUGGCGAAGGCGGCCCCCUGGACGAAGACUGACGCUCAGGUGCGAAAGCGUGGGGAGCAAACAG